rnacentral:rRNA from 1 species
UACGUAGGGUGCAAGCGUUGUCCGGAAUUAUUGGGCGUAAAGAGCUCGUAGGCGGUUUGUUGCGUCGGCUGUGAAAUCCCGAGGCUCAACCUCGGGUCUGCAGUCGAUACGAGCAAACUAGAGUGUUGCAGGGGAGACUGGAAUUCCUGGUGUAGCGGUGAAAUGCGCAGAUAUCAGGAGGAACACCGGUGGCGAAGGCGGCAUCCUGGACCAACACUGACAGCUGAGGAGCGAAAGCCCAGGGGAGCAAACGGG